rnacentral:rRNA from 1 species
CACGAGGGUCUCACUGUCUUAAGGAAAUCUCCAGUGAAAUUGAAUUUGUAGUGAAGAUGCUACAUCCAAAUUGUUAGACGAGAAGACCCCAUGGAACUUUACUGGAAACUUAUGUGGCUGACUUAAAUAGUUUUAAAAGGUGGUGCGGAUUAAUUAGGGUUAAAAAGUUCACUUUUUUAUUUGAAGAAAGGCAACUCAAAAACUUAUAUCUUUGGGAUUUGAUAAGUGGGACAGUUUGGUUGGGGCGAUCGCCUUUAAAAAAGUAACGAAGGCGGGCUUAAGAUAUAUAUUUGGUUAUGUCUGACUGCCAGGGGGAAACCUAGAGCAGACACUUAUCUUUGGAUGGUGGGUUUAAGUGACCCGUUAAUUUAGGGUGAAAUAGUUAACGAUAAACA